GCAACAAUUUAAGAAAGUAGAACAGCUGCGAUUUCGAACAGGCCCGGCAAUAGCUCCGGCGGCGGCCAGAAGCUCCGGUGGAUCAACUAUAAAAACCGCGUAGCA